rnacentral:rRNA from 1 species
ACACAUGCAAGUCGAGGGGCAGCAUGAACUUAGCUUGCUAAGUUUGAUGGCGACCGGCGCACGGGUGAGUAACACGUAUCCAACCUUCCGUUUACUCAGGGAUAGCCUUUCGAAAGAAAGAUUAAUACCUGAUAGUAUGGUGAGAUUGCAUGGUAGCACCAUUAAAGAUUUAUUGGUAAACGAUGGGGAUGCGUUCCAUUAGGUAGUAGGCGGGGUAACGGCCCACCUAGCCGACGAUGGAUAGGGGUUCUGAGAGGAAGGUCCCCCACAUUGGAACUGAGACACGGUCCAAACUCCCACGGGAGGCAGCAGUGAGGAAUAUUGGUCAAUGGGCGAGAGCCUGAACCAGCCAAGUAGCGUGAAGGAUGAAGGUCCUACGGAUUGUAAACUUCUUUUAUACGGGAAUAAAGUAUCCUACGUGUAGGAUUUUGUAUGUACCGUAUGAAUAAGCAUCGGCUAACUCCGUGCCAGCAGCCGCGGUAAUACGGAGGAUGCGAGCGUUAUCCGGAUUUAUUGGGUUUAAAGGGAGCGCAGACGGGAGAUUAAGUCAGUUGUGAAAGUUUGCGGCUCAACCGUAAAAUUGCAGUUGAUACUGGUUUCCUUGAGUGCAGUUGAGGCAGGCGGAAUUCGUGGUGUAGCGGUGAAAUGCUUAGAUAUCACGAAGAACCCCGAUUGCGAAGGCAGCUUGCUAAGCUGUAACUGACGUUCAUGCUCGAAAGUGUGGGUAUCAAACAGGAUUAGAUACCCUGGUAGUCCACACGGUAAACGAUGGAUACUCGCUGUUGGCGAUAUACUGUCAGCGGCCAAGCGAAAGCAUUAAGUAUCCCACCUGGGGAGUACGCCGGCA